GACGUAGGGCGCGAGCGUUGUCCGGAUUUAUUGGGCGUAAAGAGCUCGUAGGCGGCUUGUCGCGUCGACUGUGAAAACUCGGGGCUCAACUCCGAGCUUGCAGUCGAUACGGGCAGGCUAGAGUUCGGUAGGGGAGACUGGAAUUCCUGGUGUAGCGGUGAAAUGCGCAGAUAUCAGGAGGAACACCGGUGGCGAAGGCGGGUCUCUGGGCCGAUACUGACGCUGAGGAGCGAAAGCGUGGGGAGCGGACAGG
rnacentral:rRNA from 1 species